rnacentral:lncRNA from 1 species
CCCGGCGCCGCGGCCAGGAUUUCCCACCUCGCUCCCGCGACUCCGCUGCGGGUCUGCACACCCGAGGACUCGGGGUACUUAACCGAAACUAGCAAUCCCAGGCGGUACAAGGCCCUCCAUCGUAGGCAAAGCACUACCUGAAUGUAGAUUUGGGCCAUACGUUGGAAAAUAAGACAUGAGAGUAUGCUCCGAUCAACUUUUACUGUUCACUGGACAACUAUUUUGGGAAUUUGCAGACCUAUAAAGCCCAUCUAUAAAUCUCAAGCAUGUCCACUUUCAGAGAAGAGAAAUGCUGACAACCAUUUAGUCUCUGAGGACAACACUUUUAAAGAGCCAGAAAGGUACAUUUCCUCUUCAUGUGUUCUCACUUCCAUCCUUUACCUCGGUGAAAAGACGUUUUCCUUCCGUACACUCAUCAGUCCAAGAGGGAUGAAGCUUGUGGAAAUUUUGCAGCAGCCUUCCCUGACCAUGGUGGCCUGAAGUGCACCUUUUAUACAGGACUCCAUCAUAGGACUGGAGAGAGAUUGGAUGUCAGAGUGAUUGAUGUGCUCCUACUGGAAGAAGGCAAACAUCCAUAUGUGAACUGCCUGUGGGGUUUCCAAGGAAAGGAACGGCAGGCAGCCUCUAUGAGCUUAAAGAAGAUAACUGGGACUUUAGUCCUAUAACCUCAAGGAACAGUAUUCUGUGAACCAUCUGAGAAGCUUGGAAGAGGACCCCAAACUCCAAAUAAGAAGCUCAGUGUGUCUGACACCUUGACUGCAGGCUUGGGAGGUCCUGAGCAGAAGAUCCAGUUCAACAGUGCCUGGACUCCUGAUCCACAAAAACUGAUAACAAAUAUUUAUUGUUUUAAGAUGCUAAGUUUGUAGUCAUUUUUUAUACAGCAACAGAAAACUAAACACACACAUAAACAGUUAUAAGUGCUCACUGUAUAUGAGGCUUUUCAUUAAUAAUCUAUAUUUUAUAAUAGAAUUAGAAUAUAGAUCUGUGAAGCUGAAGACACUCAAUCCUUGCUAGAUUUAAAUCAGGAAAAUCAGCUGAGAAUCAUUCCUUGAUAGAACCUGGAAAACAAGACCCUAUGAGAGACCCUGGGAAUUACAUUAAAUUCACUGUGGUUCCCAGUGUCACUGAAGAGGUUUUCCUUUCAUAGUCAGGUAGUCACCAUACUGUUAAGCAUUUGAACACAUGGGCAACUUCCAGAAUAGUUAUGACAUUGAUAUACCAAUCUCCAAAAUUCCUAGAAUACCAUGUUUUCAUGGUUGACCUUCAAAUCAGUCAGUUCUUUGUAACAUUGAGCCAUAAAGAUAGGGCAAAUACUUAAUGUUUUACAUAUAUUCAGAGAUUGACCCUCAAAAUACAGCCCAGAGAAACUCAAAAGAAUUAACUCUAUUUCUUCAAAUUGUGUGACGCCACCAAGGCCAGAUGACUUCAGCAUUGGGAAGGCAAUAUCCAGCUGUCAUCUUCUUGAUCCUCAUAUGCUACUACUAGCAUCUAGCAUUUACUGAGCAGAUAGUUUUAUUGUCCAGUUUUUAAAGAUAAGAAAAUUGAGGUAUUAGGAAAGUUAAGUUGGUUGCCUAGGGAAACACGAAGAUAUAGCCCAGAUUCACUCCCAGGCAGGCAGAUGCCAGUGUCUGCUCUCUUUACCACCGAAAUAUCCUGCUACAUGUACAAUUUCAAUAAAUAUCUGGACUUACUGGAACAAAACAAAUCAACAACAUUCUUAUUUUCUUUCUUCAGUUUAGAUUAAAUAAUUUAAAUGUCUUCUUAAGAAGCUACAGUUUUUUGAGGCACAGAGGGAUAGGAGGGUAGGUCCUACCAGUUGAGUCACUCAGCCCUAUAGUUGUGAAAAUCCUUAAUUUUAAGAAGCAGCAGUAAAGUCUCUACUUCUCAAGCUUGCCAUUAGAUGGUUUUAAAUAAUUGACAGGCUCUGCUCAAGUUCUUCUGAUUUCUCCAUAUCCUGGAAAUGGUUAAAGGCAUAAGCAGGAAGCCAUUCCCUUUUGAUGAGCUGCUAUGACAUCAUGCAGUAAGUUUACUGAAGAGAGAUUCCUGAUGAAAGAUGCAAGAGAAACUAGAUACAUUAAGCAGUCGUUUCUUUAUAUGAAUCAAUGGGACACCUUUGCUUUCCUUUACUCUAAGUGACCUAUAUGCAGAAAAUGAACUCACUUUUCCUAUGUUUAGAUCAAGUUUUCAAGUUACUUCCUGGCAAACAACCCUAACAAGAUCAUGUAUGAUAGUUAAUUGGCCAUAAUCUCUGCCUUUUCUUUUUUUCUGGCUAAAUAACCAGGUGGACCACACAUUUGGGUCAGGGGAGUCACAUUAGGACUCUUUUAGUAGAGAGAAUGCCAGAUGUAGA